CUUAUCACAGGAAACUUCAGACACAAAAUCUGAUCAUAUUCUCCAUUAAAACGAUUUUAAUUUUCUGCUGACACAUUUUUGUUAACUUCUAUCUUCUCCGCACCACAGCCUGAGCGUUCUUAAUGAAUAAAAAAAGUGUCCUUCUUACACAAUCUGCAACAAACUGUCCCCAGCCUAACUUGCGGAUAGAAUUUCAAAAUGACACUGUAUCAAUGACACAUCAUAGAAGCAAAAAUCCCUCCGAUGUUUUUUUCUGUUCUUUCUCUCUCUCUCGUCACAAAGUUGAUCCAAUUGCCAGCACCCCUGCGUCAAGUUGAUUAUGUGCUCACAAUCUGCUCAGAGUUAUUUCCUUAAUUAAGAACAAUAGGAUGCGCUGUUAUGCAGCAAAGCGAUAUGAGGGGAGCGAUACGGCAACCCCCGUCCUUGAUCCGCAGUAAUUGAGCCAACGCAUCCAGCAAUCAACAAACAAACCGACCACGAUGUGAUGGUGAAGGAAAUCAGCACCGCCACCGCCAGUCACACUUGAGCUAUUGAGCGAAAAUGGUGUCGGUGUGCUUGUUCGCUGUCGCAUUUGCAUUUGUGUAAAAAUCGGCCUGCUGUUGUUUGUCGUCUGUCAGAGAUGUAGCACCAGAGAUGUGCAAGGCCUGCUCAGCUUCUGUUACAGCUUAUAGAGGAGAUUGACAUGUUUAGUAAGCACAGGUGUCACAAACGACCCGCCCGCAACGGCUGUCACACAAUCGAAUCCGAUGGAAUUGGUGGAAUGAAGAAGACAAAAAAAAAAUACUCCCUUCCAAAAAAGGAAACAGACAAAGAAUAAUAAACCCAAAGACACACGCACACUCUCCAUCAUCAUCAUCGUCCCAAGGAUGCGGCAGUGUGUGCAAUGCGAAAUACUGCUGGCGGAUGCAUAAUUAUAAAUUCAUCUUAGGAAAACCGCGCAUCUAACAGCGCCACACUGUGGCCACACUGGUAAGAGAAGGUAAACGGUUCCGUUACGACGGUGUUACGACGUGAUGGGGGAGGGGUUUGUAGAAUUUGGUUUGCCUUUCACAUCGAAUUGCCGUGACGAGAUACCACCUAUUCCGGUGCUGGCUUUACGCAUUUGCGGCCUCCAUGGAGGAGGACCAGGCAAUGGCAGAAGUUGCGGCUACAUCAGUGGCAAAUCACGUUUAUUACAAGGUAAACAUUUGAUCCUUGGUGGCAUGAAAAUUUGAAGAAGCUACCCGCGCCCGUACGGCGUAUUACACACUUCUUCAAUCGGUUUUGGGCGUUGAAUGCCGGCGGGCCACUCUGUUUGUACACUGUGUACUGUGUAACAAAAGUUCCGUUGGUUGUUGGUGGAAGACUUUUGGCACGAACAAUGACUAAAUUUGCGUAAAAUGAAUCGUUCUGGUAGGAGUUUUUCCUGAAGAACUUGGAGGAACGGAAGGAAAUUAUCAAUAAACCAUUUGUAGAGCAUUGUCAAUACAUUAAUUAUGUAUGACAUCGAUCCUUAACAGCAAUUAUCCUUUUGCGGUAAAGUUGUGUAUGUGUGUGUUUAGGAGAAAUUCAAAUUUGUGGUCUUGAUGAACAAGUUUUAUUGAGACUUAAUAGGGUGGCUCAACAUGGACAACUCGAUGGUCUUGUGACACUGACGCUCGGUCUCAUACCCCGAAAGUCGUGGAUCAAGUCUCAUCUUGAUCGGUUUCGUUAGCAAGAAUUUUAUUAUCUUAGUACCAUGGUAAAAAUGCAUUAAAUAAAGUUAUUUUAUUGUGCAGAUUAUACCACAGAAGAAAUUCUUGUCAUCAGGAAGAAUCGGACUCAAUAAUUAAUUGUUUUUUCGAUCGUUCUUUCCACACGAUCCGUGGAUCAAAUCCCAUCUGGACCCUCCCCGGUAGCAAUGGUUCAUUAUCCCGCUACGUAGUAAAAAAGUUUAGUAAGCCAAAAAUGGUCGUCGUGACCUUAGAAAACGUGAAGUCCAGGAAGGGAGAGAUAAUAUAAAAUUUUAAUCAAAAUUUCAGGGUGUAUCUUAAAAUGUUUUCAAAUUGAUUGUUUAAUUCAUUAUGCAUCUAUUGAAUUUAUUGUUUUUUUAAAUCCAAAUUUAGUCAUUAACUAUUUGUUUGAUCAUUGUUUGAAGAUUACAUCGGGGAAGU